CAGAGGUGGAGGAGCUGCGGGAGCUGUAAGGACUUUUCUGCUGGACAGAUAGGGUAGGGUCCGGGUAGGAUCUUCCUCUUUCCGUCUCCAGAGCCGUUAAUGUCCGUGCUGACAAAGGAUCAAUGCCCACGCCAUAGAGCAGAAGAAUUAUUUGAAGCUGCAAAAGAAACACAGCAAAGAACUCAAAGAACUGUGUAAGAAGCAACUCAAGAAGGUGUGGAAUCUGAGCAAGGAGCAGAAGAGUCGGAGUAGCCAGAUGCAGUCUGAUGGCCAGCGUAACCUGAAACGCAGCAUCAAGAAAAAGUUGUUGCCCAGCCCAGACAUCAGUUCAGCAGCAGCUCGUUGUAUCAGGAUGUCACCUGCUGCUCUGGGAUCCUGCACCCUAACAGAGCUGCCGUACCCACAGACGAUGCAUUCAGGCGCAGUACUGCUGUGUGGGUCACCUUUGAUGUUUUUGCAGCGUCAGAGCCCGUGAUUCGAUCCACGCAGUUGUGCUACGCCCCUCCGUUGGCAGGGUGAACGAAAUCUGUGUUAAAAACAAGACGGCUUCGAAAACAUUGCACUUCAUCUGUCAGAGGUUCCCCUUGAUGAUUCAUCGGGGCUGACAUCAGUGACAGAAAAACCAGAGCGAUGGAAAUCUAUUCAAAUGCGUGUACCACCAUGGGCCCUGCAUCUGGAGGAUUGCAAGCUUUCACCCGUCUCAGGAAGGCCAGGAACGGAGUGGGGUGCUCUGGCACCCCAUGGUCUGGCCAGGCCGUGAACUGGAACUGCCUCACCUCUCUCUUCUCGCUGGAGCCAUUCUGAAUAUGGAGGCAGAAAAGAAAAACCUUCACAGAUGAACAAUUCAAGCCGUUCGUCAUUCGGAAUGACAUUGGAGAACUCUACGUCAACAUGCUGUCAUAGUUAAUCAUUUCAUAAAAUUUUUUUUUUAUUUUUUUUACAGCUUUUAAACACUAAGAAUAUGUUAUAUUUAGUUAAUGAAUAAAUACAAUCAUGAAUGAUUACAAGAAUUAUAAUAUUAACUUUUGAAAGCCUGAACGCACACCUGCGAUGUUCAUGCAUUGGUUCAUGGGGAAUAUAAGAUGCUUUUGUUUUUCCACUGCUCCCUUUAUGAAUGUUUAAGAAGGCCUUCAAUGUACACUGUG